GUGCCAGCGCGGUAAUACGAAGGGGGCGAGCGUUGUUCGGAAUUACUGGGCGUAAAGGGCGCGCAGGCGGCCUUAGAAGUCAGAUGUGAAAGCCCCGGGCUCAACCUGGGAAUGGGCAUUUGAUACUCUGAGGCAGGAGUACGGGAGAGGAGAGUGGAAUUCCCAGUGUAGAGGUGAAAUUCGUAGAUAUUGGGAAGAACACCGGUGGCGAAGGCGGCUCUCUGGACCGGUAACUGACGCUGAGGCGCGAAAGCGUGGGGAGCAAACAGG
rnacentral:rRNA from 1 species